rnacentral:lncRNA from 1 species
AUCUUUUCUGAAUGCCUGAAUCUCCAGCCCCUUACCUGGGAGUGGCCCCCAGGGACCUGUCUACUUGGGUGCUGGAGUACCACCCUGAAGUCCUGGCCUGGGAGAACUCGAGCACAAAGAAGCCAUCGCCUGACCAGAGCUGUAUAGAAACACCCUCAGGUUGGGUGAGUCAGGAAAGCAUUUCUGUGACCUCUGUGAAGACUUCUAGCAAAGGAUGGAUCCCAAAAGGAUUGUGAGAGCCUUGGAUUUGCAGCCAAAUCAGACAGAGGGCAUUUUAAAGUGGAAACUCUGUUCACAGUUCAUGGGCCAUGUAAAGGCAGGUGCACACCAGCUCGCCCUAGAGGUCACAGUCUGCUGGCUCCAUAUUAGAGCAAAGCAUACCAGACGUUUCUGUGAUACUGAGAAGUGAGAGAGGGCCUUGGCCAGAGCCCACUCCCUUAGACAGCACGAGGACUGGCCGGGGGACCUUUCCUCUGCCCAGCGCCUGGGCUGAUGUCGCUGGUGAGCCUCGGAAAGGAGCUUCCUCCUCCCCCGAGGACUACUUAACUGGCAGGUGGAAUGAAAGGAGUUUUGUCUGAGAUGUGUACUGUAAAAUCCAGCUCACGUGGGAAGAUCGUCGCGAAUAAAGAGCUCCUGCUUGCAUCUUGAAAUGAAAGGGGGAACGUUCUCACCCUAUCACCGGAUAAACAUGCACUUAACAGUUUCAGUCAUUGUCCUCGAGAGUGCUUAUGUAUGCUAGCUAGCUAGGUACUAGAGAGAGUUUAUCCCUUUAAACAGGAAC